GCGCAUCAGCCCCCCCCCCCCCCCCCCCUGUUCCUCUACUGCCAUUGGAGACAGGAUGCUUUGUAAAAGAAGCAGUCAGACUGAUAAAAGGCCUGAGUGGUGCAACGCUUGAAGAAAUUGAAGCAGGAGCCAAGGGUUGGCUGAAGAACUGCCGAGCAUGCGUAAAUAGCGCCACAAAAAGGAAGCUUCCACGAGUCUGAGAGUUAAGAAACUUCCAUGAGUCAGCCGGAAACUUCCUCAAGUCAUCUGGAUUGCAAGCCAUUAUUUCAUUUCUUAUUGUUUUAAAACUAAUAAGCAGUGCAUUGAAAGCUUCAAUUAUAUUUACGUACCUAUUUUACUAAUAAACAUGUUUUUACAGUUCUU